rnacentral:lncRNA from 1 species
UAUAGGUUCAGAACGAUGGGUCAAACUUGGAUCAGUUCUAGGAGCACACCACUCCUGUUGUCCCUGCCUGGUUUCUUCCUAUGGUAAGAAGAAGAUUUCAAAACUUUUAUGGUAGUGAAAAGUUAGAAAUGUAGUUUAUUGCUGAUUCGAGCCAGAUAGAUCAUCGUGUUUUGUUUAACUUUAGUUGAAACUUAGUAUAUUUGCUGCCCUAAAAUAGUUUCAUUUGCUUUUAAACCCCUUUUAUAUUGUUGAUCUAAUGAAAUUCAUAAGAGAUUGGAUUGAAAAAGACUCGAGUUUUAUCAUGUGAUUUAGUGUAGAGUGGAACUUGAGCAUUGCGCUAAUUGCUCCUAGUUUUGGAAAAAUCGGUGAAACUCCACCUGGAGAGCAUGUUCCUUUAUGGCUUCCAGCUUUUCCUGAUCUUCAUACGUAUAAGGAAACACCUAUUUGGAUUCAAACGAGACUAAGAGCCUUGAUUCGUAAAGCAAUAUGCUAUAAAAGCAGUAUGCUCUCAUUUAUAUAUUUAAUAAGUUGGUUGAUAGAACACUGAAAGAUUUCAUUUAUUAAUUUAUCAUAAAAAUUAAUAUAUAAUAUAUAUUAUAAAUACAAAUAUAUCUAUAUUAUUUAUAAAUAAAUAAUCUAUAUAUUAUUCUAUGUUUUUGUUAUGAAAAAUAAUGAAUCACAUAUAAUUAUAUAAAUUUAAUUAUAUUUUAAAUGUGAAAUAAUAUUAUUUUAAAAAAGUUUAAUAUAUUUAAGAAAAUUGUGUUUUUUAUUUUUAAAAAUAUUUUUUUUUGGAUAUAAACAUAUUUUUUGGUAUUAUUAAAUAAAAUAAAAUAAUUAUAUUUAUUUUUUGGAAAAAAUAUAUUUUAUAUUUUAUACGCAAAUGUUCUACCAGAAACUUCAUUUGAAAGUAUUGAACGAAGAGCAAUAUUAACACCUUAUAAAUGUUCUUCUAAAUGCUUUUCUAAAAAUGGUUGAUUGGAUAACAAUGAGGAUAAUGUUUAUGCUAAUAUCUUACGAGAUAAGGUUGAGCAAGAGAGGCAGAGAGAGCUUUGUUGAGUUUGCAUAGGAAACUUGUCUUUAAAAUCUCCUCAGGGAGUCUUGUGUGGGGAGUUAUGGAUGAAAUGAGUGAAGCUGAGAGUGAACUCCGUAUGGGAGACAGUUGUAUCAUCAAGUCUCUUUUAGGAGGAGAUUAUAGAAUUGAUCAUCUUAUCACUAAGUUAAAGGCCCUGAUUUUCAGAUCUAAUGUGUACUUAUGAUCUUCGUUUUAGUGUGUUAACCCACUCUGAUAUAAGCAAAUAUUAGAGGGCUUGAAAAAACACGUACUAAUAGUCCAAAUGUGAAAAAGUCUCGUCUCCCAUUGUUUUCAAUCAUCAAAUAAUAUAUAGAGCAACGUGAUGCAUCAUAAACAGUUUUGAGUUAUUAAACAUAACCUUAGAAAGAAUCUGUACUAUUCUUUACAGAGUCAUCAAACAUUUCAUAGCACGAAGCUGAGUUGCUUGUGUGGUUUCAGGUGCUGCUACUAGCAUUGUUGGGAUGCUUGAUGAUUCUCUGCAGAAUCACAGUCCUUGCCCUUCUUAUAUCUCUGCUACACAAAUCAGCCUGAGCCCCUAAUUCCUCUACAUUCUUCUUAAACA